rnacentral:rRNA from 1 species
AACGAACGCUGGCGGCAUGCCUAACACAUGCAAGUCGAACGAGACCUUCGGUCUAGUGGCGCACGGGUGCGUAACGCGUGGGAACCUGCCUUUAGGUUCGGAAUAACUCAGAGAAAUUUGAGCUAAUACCGGAUAAUGUCUUCGGACCAAAGAUUUAUCGCCUUUAGAUGGGCCCGCGUUGGAUUAGCUAGUUGGUGGGGUAAAGGCCUACCAAGGCGACGAUCCAUAGCUGGUCUGAGAGGAUGAUCAGCCACACUGGGACUGAGACACGGCCCAGACUCCUACGGGAGGCAGCAGUGGGGAAUAUUGGACAAUGGGCGAAAGCCUGAUCCAGCAAUGCCGCGUGAGUGAUGUAGGCC